GAUGAAUGCUGGCGGCGUGCCUAACACAUGCAAGUCGAGCGGCAGCGAGGGGUGCUUGCACCCUGUCGGCGAGCGGCGAACGGCUGAGUAACGCGUAGGAAUUUGCCCCAAAGUGAGGAAUAACUGCCCGAAAGGGUAGCUAAUGCCGCAUAUGGUCUUCGGAUUAAAGGGUUUAUCCGCUUUGGGAGAAGCCUGCGUUGGAUUAGGUUGUUGGUAGGGUAAUGGCCUACCAAGCCGACGAUCCAUAGCUGGUCUGAGAGGAUGAUCAGCCAGACUGGAACUGAGACACGGUCCAGACUCCUACGGGAGGCAGCAGUGAGGAAUCUUCCACAAUGGGCGAAAGCCUGAUGGAGCAACGCCGCGUGAAGGAUGAAGGCCUUCGGGUUGUAAACUUCUUUUAUGAGUGAAGAAUAUGACGGUAACUCAUGAAUAAGCACCGGCUAACUACGCG
rnacentral:rRNA from 1 species